rnacentral:rRNA from 1 species
UACGUAGGGUGCGAGCGUUAAUCGGAAUUACUGGGCGUAAAGCGUGCGCAGGCGGUUUGUUAAGACAGGUGUGAAAUCCCCGGGCUUAACCUGGGAAUGGCGCUUGUUACUGGCAGGCUAGAGUGUGUCAGAGGGAGGUAGAAUUCCACGUGUAGCAGUGAAAUGCGUAGAGAUGUGGAGGAAUACCGAUGGCGAAGGCAGCCUCCUGGGAUAACACUGACGCUCAUGCACGAAAGCGUGGGGAGCAAACAGGAU